rnacentral:tRNA from 2 species
GCGGGUAUAACUCAAUGGUAGAGUCUCAGCCUUCCAAGCUGAUUACGUGGGUUCGAUUCCCACUAUCCGCU